AUGGUACAAACUGAGAUCUAGAGAAUUCAGUCAGUGGAAAAAACAUCUCACUUGCUCUCCUGUGUGAUGACCUGGGUGAUUUUGGCAACUGUUCGUAAGAGGCAAGGAGGACAGGACACCUCUAUUCUUCGCAGUUCUUGGUAGAAGCGAGGGAGAGCACAUGAUGAAAUUGAAGCAACAGUCAAGGAGCUAGGAAGAUAGAAGAGGAAAGAGGAAACCUGUGAUCAGCUAGAAAGAAAAAGGAAGCCAAGUAAAUGUGGGUUAACUGAAUGCAUUGAGUUGAAAAAAUAUAUUGAUGAAACCCAGCAGCCUUGCCAUGGACCUGGGUUCACCUCAGUUUCUUCAGCCCUGUACAGCCUGGGCCUUUACCCAGGGCAGCCAAACCUCCAGCCUCCUUUCCAUGCACAUCAGUCUUUAAGACCCAAGGGGAAAAAAUUCUUUUAAUCCUUAGCAAUAAACAUGAUUUUCCAA